UGCUCCGAGCAGCGACAGCACCUCCGUCUCGCCUCUUCAUUCGUCGGCACGAGCUCGUUCUCGUCCGCGGUCGGUUGUCCUGUGCUGCAUACCUAUCGAGAGGGCAUUCUGUCGGCUGAAACGGUCCCAUCUCCGUCCUGCGUCGCCGCUCCGUGCGGGCGGUCGAUGCGGGGUGGAUCUCAAGGCUCGCGUCGUGUCUCGCACCGCAUCCACCGAUUUUCGGUGUUUGGGCAGGCGAACCACGUCGCGUCGCCCGUCGCCUCGGGUACGGAACAUCACGUGGGUACGCGGCCUCGGCCGCCGAUCGCCACAACGAUGCGUUCUACGCUUUUUGCGAACGACGGUCGGCUC
rnacentral:misc_RNA from 1 species